rnacentral:rRNA from 1 species
UGCAGUCGAGCGAUUUACUUCGGUAAAGAGCGGCGGACGGGUGAGUAACGCGUGGGUAACCUGCCCUGUACACACGGAUAACAUACCGAAAGGUAUGCUAAUACGGGAUAAUAUGCUUUAGUCGCAUGGCUGAAGUAUCAAAGCUCCGGCGGUACAGGAUGGACCCGCGUCUGAUUAGCUAGUUGGUAAGGUAAUGGCUUACCAAGGCGACGAUCAGUAGCCGACCUGAGAGGGUGAUCGGCCACAUUGGAACUGAGACACGGUCCAAACUCCUACGGGAGGCAGCAGUGGGGAAUAUUGCACAAUGGGCGAAAGCCUGAUGCAGCAACGCCGCGUGAGCGAUGAAGGCCUUCGGGUCGUAAAGCUCUGUCCUCAAGGAAGAUAAUGACGGUACUUGAGGAGGAAGCCCCGGCUAACUACGUGCCAGCAGCCGCGGUAAUACGUAGGGGGCUAGCGUUAUCCGGAAUUACUGGGCGUAAAGGGUGCGUAGGUGGUUUUUCAAGUCAGGAGUGAAAGGCUACGGCUCAACCGUAGUAAGCUCUUGAAACUGUAAAACUUGAGUGCAGGAGAGGAGAGUGGAAUUCCUAGUGUAGCGGUGAAAUGCGUAGAUAUUAGGAGGAACACCAGUUGCGAAGGCGGCUCUCUGGACUGUAACUGACACUGAGGCACGAAAGCGUGGGGAGCAAACAGGAUUAGAUACCCUGGUAGUCCACGCCGUACACGAUGAGUACUAGCUGUCGGAGGUUACCCCCUUCGGUGGCGCAGCUAACGCAUUAAGUACUC